rnacentral:rRNA from 1 species
UACGAAGGGGCUAGCGUUGCUCGGAAUCACUGGGCGUAAAGGGUGCGUAGGCGGGUCUUUUAAGUCAGGGGUGAAAUCCUGGAGCUCAACUCCAGAACUGCCUUUGAUACUGAAGAUCUUGAGUUCGGGAGAGGUGAGUGGAACUGCGAGUGUAGAGGUGAAAUUCGUAGAUAUUCGCAAGAACACCAGUGGCGAAGGCGGCUCACUGGCCCGGUACUGACGCUGAGGUGCGAAAGCGGUGGGAGCAAACAGG